GGGGCACCAGCGGAGCUGCGGGUGGAGGGGGGGGGCCAGGGCUGGGCUAGCAGGGGGCUGCAGGUCGGGAGUGAGGGGCACUGGCAGAGCUGGGGGGCCCAGGGCAGGGCUAGCAGGGGCUGCAGGUCGGGAGUGAGGGGCACCAGCGGAGCUGCGGGUGGAAGGGGGGCCCAGGGCAGGGCUAGCAGGGGGCAGCAGGUUGGGAGUGAGGGGCACCAGCGGAGCUGCGGGUGGAAGGGGGGCCCAGGGCAGGGCUAGCAGGGGGCUGCGGGUCGGGAGUGAGGGGCACCAGCGGAGCUGCGGGUGGAAGGGGAGCCCAGGGCAGGGCUAGCAGGGGGCUGCAGGCUGGGAGUGAGGGGCACUGGCAGAGUUGGGAGGGCGGGGGGGGGCAAGCAGGGGGCUGCAGGACACAGGCAGAGCUUGCGGAGGGGGAACUGC